AAUCCAUAGGUUAAUGAGGCGAACCGGGGGAACUGAAACAUCUAAGUACCCCGAGGAAAAGAAAUCAACCGAGAUUCCCCCAGUAGCGGCGAGCGAACGGGGAGGAGCCCAGAGCCUGAAUCAGCAUGUGUGUUAGUGGAAGCGUCUGGAAAGGCGCGCGAUACAGGGUGACAGCCCCGUACACAAAAGCGCAUGUGCUGUGAGCUCGAUGAGUAGGGCGGGACACGUGGUAUCCUGUCUGAAUAUGGGGGGACCAUCCUCCAAGGCUAAAUACUCCUGACUGACCGAUAGUGAACCAGUACCGUGAGGGAAAGGCGAAAAGAACCCCGGCGAGGGGAGUGAAAAAGAACCUGAAACCGUGUACGUACAAGCAGUGGGAGCCCCACCACCAAAGCAUUUGCUGUACCGCGUUGACGGAGCGAAGCGACGUCAAACCGAUAAAACAGCAGUGUAAAGUGAGCCGCAGGGCGCUUUGCGCGACAGCGCAAAGGCAGGCGGUUUCGCGUAGCGAAAGCGAAUGCUUUGGGGUGGGGUGACUGCGUACCUUUUGUAUAAUGGGUCAGCGACUUAUAUUCUGUAGCAAGGUUAACCGAAUAGGGGAGCCGGAGGGAAACCGAGUCUUAAUUGGGCGUUAAGUUGCAGGGUAUAGACCCGAAACCCGGUGAUCUAGCCAUGGGCAGGUUGAAGGGUGGGUAACACUAACUGGAGGACCGAACCGACUAAUGUUGAAAAAUUAGCGGAUGACCUGUGGCUGGGGGUGAAAGGCCAAUCAAACCGGGAGAUAGCUGGUUCUCCCCGAAAGCUAUUUAGGUAGCGCCUCGUGAAUUCAUCUCCGGGGGUAGAGCACUGUUUCGGCUAGGGGGCCAUCCCGGCUUACCAACCCGAUGCAAACUGCGAAUACCGGAGAAUGUUAUCACGGGAGACACACGGCGGGUGCUAACGUCCGUCGUGAAGAGGGAAACAACCCAGACCGCCAGCUAAGGUCCCAAAGUCAUGGUUAAGUGGGAAACGAUGUGGGAAGGCCCAGACAGCCAGGAUGUUGGCUUAGAAGCAGCCAUCAUUUAAAGAAAGCGUAAUAGCUCACUGGUCGAGUCGGCCUGCGCGGAAGAUGUAACGGGGCUAAACCAUGCACCGAAGCUGCGGCAGCGACACUGUG
rnacentral:rRNA from 1 species